UCUACUAGUAUAAAUAAGUACAUUUACCUUCCAAGUAAAAAGUCUAAUAUAAUUAGAUAGAU
rnacentral:tRNA from 1 species